GUGUGUGUGUCGAUAUAGCCGAUCACAAACAUUCGAAAAAAAAACAAACAAAUUCGUGUGACUAUUUCGUGAUGAUACGAAAAUCUUGCAAAUAUCAUCCAUAAUUAUGUUUGAUGAUAAUUGUAAUAUAAUUAUUAUCUUUCAAAGUUCAUCAAAAAUUUUUCGGGAUGUUUUUCUCUUCGUUUGUUUGUACGUUCCAUUUCGUUUUCUUUCCAAUCUCACCAUCAUCAUCAUCAUCGUUUAGAUAAUUUUGAAGAUAAUGUUUGUGAUGGAUGGGCGACUAUCUAUGAUGGUCAAUCGAUUAUUGAUGAAUUUAAACGUUUUUUUUACAAAAAAAAAAAAACAAAACAACAGCUAGAUUGAAAAGUACGCACUUAACAUCAUCAUCAUUCAUUAUUUAUUUACAUUGUGACCACCACCAGCAUUUACAUCAAACAACGACAACAACA